UAGGGAAUCUUCGGCAAUGGACGGAAGUCUGACCGAGCAACGCCGCGUGAGUGAAGAAGGUUUUCGGAUCGUAAAGCUCUGUUGUAAGAGAAGAACGAGUGUGAGAGUGGAAAGUUCACACUGUGACGGUAUCUUACCAGAAAGGGACGGCUAACUACGUGCCAGCAGCCGCGGUAAUACGUAGGUCCCGAGCGUUGUCCGGAUUUAUUGGGCGUAAAGCGAGCGCAGGCGGUUAGAUAAGUCUGAAGUUAAAGGCUGUGGCUUAACCAUAGUAGGCUUUGGAAACUGUUUAACUUGAGUGCAAGAGGGGAGAGUGGAAUUCCAUGCGUAGCGGUGAAAUGCGUAGAUAUAUGGAGGAACACCGGUGGCGAAAGCGGCUCUCUGGCUUGUAACUGACGCUGAGGCUCGAAAGCGUGGGGAGCAAACAGGAUUAGAUACCCUGGUAGUCCACGCCGUAACGAUGAGUGCUAGGUGUUAGACCCUUUCCGGGGUUUAGUGCCGUAGCUAACGCAUUAAGCACUCCGCCUGGGGAGUACGACCGCAAGGUU
rnacentral:rRNA from 1 species